GGUGCUAUAGUGUAGUGGUUAUCACUCAGGAUUUUGAAUCCGAUUUCCUGAAACCCAGGUUCGAACCCUGGUAGCACCU